GGGCAGCCAACCGCGGGGGACCCGCCGCCCGCCCGCGAGCUGGUGCGGCCCUCGGUGACGGAGCUGUCCCAAGUGAGGACCAACAUCCUGUGCACCGUGCCCGGCUGCGGCAAGGUGCUGCCCAACAGCCCGGCUCUCAACAUGCACCUCAGCAAGGCCCACCGGCUCCAGGAUGGAAAGUUUAAUGCACCGAUAAGGAAGGGUUUGAAAACUCCACAGAAAUUCUACUGCUGUCCUAUUGAAGGCUGCCCCAGAGGACCAAACAGACCAUUUUCCCAAUUUUCUCUUGUAAAACAGCACUUUAUGAAGAUGCACGCUGAAAAGAAGCACAAAUGUGACAAAUGUAGUAACUCCUAUGGUACGGAAUGGUAUUUGAAGCGGCAUAUAGAGGACUGUGGCAAGACUUUCCGGUGUACUUGUGGGUGUCCCUAUGCCAGCAGACCAGCUUUACUGUCUCAUAUUUACAGAACUGGACAUGAAAUUCCUGCGGAACACAGGGAUCCUCCUAGUAAGAAAAGGAAAAUGGAAACCUCUGUACAUAAUCAGCAGUUGUCAGAGAAAGCAAAUAAAGCAUUCAUGGAUACACACAGUAAUAACCCUGGGACUCAGGAGCUGGAAUCAUCUGAAGUGAAACUAGUGGCAUCUUUUGAAGGUUCCUGCAAUUCUAACUUCACAAAGCAAGUGCACCCAAAAUGUACACCGAAGAUGCUUUUGCCAAAGCCCAAGGUGGCUUUGGUUAAACUUCCAGUGAUGCAGCUUGCUCACUUGCCUGUGUAUGUAUCUGCAGCAGAUUCUUCUGUCAAGCCUGUUGUAGUGGCUGUUGAUAAUCAAGGUUCAGUUGUAAGUACUGUUCAUUUAUUGCCUCAAUCUGUGGGAAUUCUGAUUCCAGCACUGGAGGCGGAAACACUUGUAUUUAAAGAUACUAUGCCAGUUUCAAAAGUGACAAACUCUGGUGAUAACGAAGCAGUAAGUACUGGUGUACAAGUUAACUUGGAUAAGGUUGCAUCAAAUAGCCCAGGACAAGAGCUGGGGAAUGUUUGUCACAAGAAUAAAAUUUCUUCAAUAAAUGUACAGACUGACUUAUCUUAUAUUUCUCCAAAUUUUGUACCAGCUGCAGCCUGGACUCCCGAUUCUUCUGUAUCUUCUUGUUCUCAGACAGAUCUGUCGUUUAGUUCACAGGUUUCAUUACCCAUCAGCGUACAGACACAGACAUUACUGCCUGCUUCCAAACUGACUUCGUCCAUAGCUGCUCAGACUGAUGAUUUUAGUCAGGCUUGUUUUCCAACGUGUGGCAUUUCUAGAGAGACUCAAACCAGUAGGCCGCAGGAUUCUAUCGAUGGACGAGUGCAAAUGGACCAGGCUGUAAUGUGCAGUGACAUCUUUGAAAAUGUUCAUUCAUCAUAUAAUGGUUCUACUCAAAUUGAACUUCCAGAAAAUAACUUAAUGGCUACAAAUAUAGAUCAAACCUUGCUGCAGAGGAGUAAUUGCAAGAGCCUCAAUCAAGACACAGUGAAGUCUGAAUCUCUUAUUGGCUUCAGUAGCCAGGCUAAUAUACUUCCACCUCAAAAUACGAUGGAUAAUCAAACUCAGACAAUGGACUUGCUAAGUGAUCUGGAAAAUAUCUUUUCAGGAAACAUGUCUGGCCAGACACUGGAUAAUCGUGGCCUUUUGUCUGAGACUAGUUCUAAUGCUGACACGCAUCUGCCAUCUGGUUCAUCACAGAGCACUGGAAUAGACUUUGACAUUGAAGAGUUCUUUUCAGCGUCCAAUAUCCAAACUCAGACUGAAGAGAGUGAGCUUGGUACCCUACCCUCCGAGCCAGUUUUGGAGUCACUAGAUAUUGAAACUCAAACUGAUUUCUUAUUCUCAGAUAGUGCCACUCAAUCAUACAGCUGCAGAGGAAAUUCUAACUUCUUAGGUUUGGAGAUGUUUGAUACACAGACACAAACAGACUUGAAUUUCUUUUUGGACAGCAAUACCCAUCUGCCUUUAGGAAGUAUUCUGAAGCAGUCUAGUUUCUCCAUGAGCACUGACUCCUCAGAUACAGAAACCCAGACAGAAGUAUAUCCUGCCACUAAAAACAUACCCAACCAGAGCAUAGAAAGCAAAGUCCAGCUCAGUAGUGCUGAAACACAGACUAUGGAUAGCUGCUUUGAGAAUCUUGGGAAUUUAUUCCUUACCAGCAACGAGACACAGACAGCAAUGGAUGACUUUCUUCUGGCUGACUUAGCCUGGAAUACAAUGGAGUCCCAGUUCAGUUCAGUAGAGACGCAGACCUGUGAAGAGCUGUGCUCCUUGUUUCAGAGCUCUGACAAGCCCAGUCAUUGAGUACUGUGUGACAGAACUGUUUCCUGUGGUUUGAAAUUAAGUUAUUGGGGUGGGAGAGAUGCAUCGACCAAGUAACCCAUUUCGCAUUGUUGAAUGUAGUUACUGUGUGCGGUUGGCCUAAAAGACUUUUCAUGCUGAAGUUUGACUCUGAUUUGAUUUUCAAGGCUCUGACUCUAUUGUAAGUAUUGGUCAGUAGUGACUUACUAUUUUGCUCAUUCUCUCCUCUGUGUCCUCCACUGCCAUUUGAGCUGCUAUAUGAAAAGUAACAUCAGGUUGUCCACAACCUUUCAGCACAGACUUUUAUCUGGAAGUGAUACUAAUACUACUUGUGCUUGCUCUUUGCAUUUCCUGCUUAAUUAAGUUACGCUGCCAUUGCUGGCUCUUGAUCUGGAUGUCUGUGUAAAUACUAUUCUAAAACUGAAUUAGUAGUUUAAUUAGUCUAAUUAGUGGUAGACCUGUGUGUUUCUUUUGUAUUUAAGAAGAAAGUCUGAGAUAUGCCACUGUCUUUUAACCGCUGCUUCAGCAAGUCCAGUAUUUUGUCUCUGGGAAAGAUAGUGCUCCACUAACCUGUAGAGUCUGACAAAUUGCUGUGGUUGGUCAGGCUAUUUCCAAAUUCUUCAUGGUCCAUCAGACGAUGUCAGAAAAAAAAACCAAACACCUUCCUCCUGCAUUUAGUUUACUGUAAUUUCAAUCUUGCUGAGACUACAGCGUUCUGCUAAGAACUGGUCAGGAAAGGUGAAUUUGUUAGCUAUGCUAUCCAAUUUGUUUUAAACAAUUUCAAAAUAUCAGUGUCUUAGUUUUCUUCAGAUAGCUGAGGAUAAUCAUAAGUCACAGUUAUCUUUGCAGAAUUUAGUUUUGUGCUGUUUAAGAAGAAUACAGUUGUGUGUACAUUAAGUUCCGUGCUUGAAUUCUUCAGUGCAGCUUCUCUGGAAAGAAGAAAAGAUCAAUUUUACAUCUGUGUUUGGUCAACUGAUGGCUGUAAUCCCCCACUGGCUGUUAGUGUGCGUGAGUGGGCAAAACUGAACAGAUGUACAUGAAACUUUUGGCUUCUGGGAGAGCACUGACUGUUAGAAAAGUUAACUGUGUUCCAAGAAAACGUAGGACACACAUUCUAAGAAAAGCACAAAACAGCCUCAGAAAAAGAGAAAAAAAAUAGAGUUCUGUCUUAAAUCAUGUCUUGUUGCCUUACAUGUUUGUUUGUGUGAGAGUAAAUAGAGUUUCUUCUAUUUUUUGGAGUUAGGCUUGUGUCCGUUUCCACUACCGUGGCUGUAAAUGCUUGUUUCUGCUUUGGGAAAGGAGGGAGUCCUCCUCUGGCUCUUAAAGGCAGCCUAAGAGAUCUUGCUAGUUUAAAGUAUUAAUGCUCCAGAAUCUAGCUAUGUGAAGCUGUUUGUGUCUAGAAACUUCUCCCUUCCAAAGGAUGUGAAAUCUUAAGGAAAAAGAUGUGUGCAGCUAUUUAACUUUAAAAGCUGUAAAAAAACCUCCAGUUUUAAACAGUUCAGGGUCUGUAACUUAAUGCAUGUAACUAACAAUCCUUUCCAUAUUUUAUUUCAAGACUCACUUUCACAUCUUUUCUCAAUUGAAAGAAAGCAAAAGGUUAAAUUUCCUUGUUAGCCAUAUACCUUGAGAGUGUAGAGGCAACAGAACAAAGAAAGGUGACUGCCUUCCACUGUUUUAAGUCUUUAUCCUGGUAGCACACCCUCACGUGCUGAGACAGAUGCAAACUGAUCUUUCUGUGUGACUGGGUAAGAGAUGUAGGCAUUGGCAGGAUUGGGAUCUUAGGGUCUUCAGGGCUUUUUGGUUGUUUGAUUUUGACUUUUUUUUUAAUAACCUUUCAAAUGUGGGAUAAGUAAGAUCAGUAGAACCAUACUGAAUCAAUGUAAGGUGCUAAACUUGCAAAAUGUUACUGAAAUGACAACUCAGAGGUGAACCAAACUUACUUGCCUUUAUUAUCAGUUUGCACAGCUUCCUUUUGGCUACUUUUGACAUUUUUCUUUCUUUCUUUUUUUUACCAUCAUCUCAAUGUACAAUUUACAGUUCCAAAUACAUUCACACCAAAAUAUUUCUAAUGUUGUGAGCUUUUUCAUUCCUGUUUGGUUGAAGGUGCUGCUAUGCUUGUGUUCAAAAUAGAUCUACUGUGAACAGACCUCCGUAACAAUUCCACUUGAACACUAUGAGGAUAGGGUUGUUGAACAGCAAGCUGCUUCAAUGCAUGGUGCAAACGUGCAUCUUCUGUUCCUUUUGUUGCGGUGGGUCUUGAUUUGAUUUGUUGUUUCUUUCUGUGGUUCAUGUGAAUCAAAAUGGGUGCUAAAAGGAUUUACUGGUUAGAGCACGACUGCAUUUUCUUGUUUAAAGUGCCAUUGCUGUGCAGUGAACAGCAUCAAGGAACUACAUUGUUCAGUUCUGCGUUGCCAUGCAGUCAGGUUGAUGUGUGUCUUCAUGUGUGUGACUCUUCCUCUUUACUGAAAACGUCAUCAGACAGCCUGAAACAGUGGAAAUCUCUGACUGAGCUGCAGAUCUCUAGUUAAAAGAAGUCCUUCACUUCUGAUUCUUUCUCAUGUGCUGGUUUUUCAGGAGUAUCUUCAACGUAACUAGCAGUGGAAUAUGAUGGGUGGCUUGUGAUGAAGUAAGCCCUGCUGUAGCCAUUUCACAGUGAGGAAUGCUUUACAUGCAUGCUUCAGGCACUUGCAGAGCUAGAUUGACAGUACUCUAUUUUACAGAUAUUUGCGAGUGCAUUUAUGGUAAAAAUAAAGCUAGGUAUGAAAGUAGCCAUAUUUUUUUUCAACUUACAGAAUUCAAAACCUGAUAUUGAUCUAGUUUAAACUUGUAACUAUUUAGAAUGAUGAGUAAUGCAUCUCAUGGUUGAGCCUUUCCCAAAGCAUGUGUGAGUUAAUAAAGCUGAGAAAUGUCCUGAAAAUAUUCUCAUCACUGGUGGGCUCUAGCAGGCAAAUCUGGUUUUCAAAGGUUGUUCAUGUUUGAUUCUUGCUAUUUAAGCCAAUAAACUUGCAAUAAGCAGAGAAGAGCAAGUAUUUGUUUCUGAUACCUGUUUUACGAGUGACAGUCCCAAAGAAGGAAUGUUGUCCUAACAAUUGUGAAACAUUUAAGUAUAUCAAUGCAUGCAGCAAAAAAACAAAAAACAAAAAAAACUGUGCCAAAAUACUGAUUCAUAUUUCCUUAUGUUGGAAACUGAACUGUUACACGGAGCUACUAGUAAAUUAUUCACACAAGUAUUGAAACCUUGUGUUCACAGAUGAAGCACUUCUUUAGUCCUGUAAAUUAUACAUAUUUUGGAAUAAAGUGAAUUUCAAUCA